GAAGAUAUUGAAUUGUUCUAUUAAAUUGUUGUAAUAUCUACGUAUGGAGACUAUGGUGUAAGUUCAAGCGUAGUUCCGGCGAUUUUAAAGAGUCUUUUUAAAGACUGUGCGUUUUCGAUUCACGAACCGAGCAGUAACUAUUCCAGAAUUUGAAAUUUAAAAUUGACUUUAGAAAAAGUUGAAUAUAGCGCAAUGCACUUCUAAGUGCUGUAAGUAAAUAUCUCAACACAUAAUGUACAUACAAAUACCAAGGAUAUUGUCUUUUAAGAGCGAUCGAAUAUAAAAUACCUUACAUUGCUAGACAA